UGCCCCGUGGUGUAAUUGGCAACACGGAUGAUUCUGGAUCAUUUGUUCAUGGUUCAAGUCCAUGCGGGGCAGCCA
rnacentral:tRNA from 1 species